GUGAACAAUCAGAUAAUUAACUACAGAUGUGACCCUUCAGAGAAGUGGUUGGUUCUGAUUGGCAUAGCUCCUGGUUCACCUGAGAGGCAACAAUUGGUUAAGGGGAACAUGCAACUUUUCUCUGUGGAUCAGCAGCGUAGUCAAGCUCUUGAAGCUCAUGCUGCAUCAUUUGCCCAAUUUAAGGUUCCUGGAAAUGAGAAUCCUUCCAUUCUCAUUUCUUUUGCCACAAAAUCUUUCAAUGCUGGGCAGAUUACAUCGAAGUUGCAUGUCAUUGAACUUGGUGCUCAACCAGGGAAGCCAUCAUUUACGAAGAAACAGGCUGAUCUUUUCUUUCCUCCCGACUUUGCUGAUGACUUUCCUGUUGCAAUGCAGAUAUCCCAC
rnacentral:misc_RNA from 1 species